rnacentral:tRNA from 1 species
GGAGGGGUAGCAAAGUGGCCAACUGCACCUGGCUGUAAACCAGAUCUCUUCGAGUUCGGGGGUUCGAAUCCCUCCCCCUCCACCA